rnacentral:rRNA from 1 species
UACAGAGGGUGCAAGCGUUAAUCGGAAUUACUGGGCGUAAAGGGUGUGUAGGUGGCUAAGUAAGUUAGGUGUGAAAUACCCGGGCUUAACCUGGGAAUUGCGCUUAAUACUGCCUAGCUAGAGUAUUGUAGAGGUUAGUGGAAUUUCCGGUGUAGCGGUGAAAUGCGUAGAUAUCGGAAGGAACAUCAGUGGCGAAGGCGACUAACUGGACAAAUACUGACACUGAAACACGAAAGCGUGGGGAGCAAACAGG